rnacentral:rRNA from 1 species
AGUGAACGCUGGCGGCAGGCCUAACACAUGCAAGUCGAACGAGUGGCGGACGGGUGAGGAAUAUAUCGGAAUCUACCUUGUGGUGGGGGAUAACGUCGGGAAACUUUCGCUAAUACCGCAUACGAUCGAAUGAGCCGAGAUGGGAUUAGCUAGUUGGGGGGGUAAAGGCUCACCAAGGCGACGAUCCGUAGCUGGUCUGAGAGGAUGAUCAGCCACACUGGAACUGAGACACGGUCCAGACUCCUACGGGAGGCAGCAGUGGGGAAUAUUGGACAAUGGGCGCAAGCCUGAUCCAGCCAUACCGCGUGGGUGAAGAAGGCCUUCGGGUUGUAAAGCCCUUUUGUUGGGAAAGCGGUACCCAAAGAAUAAGCACCGGCUAACUUCGUGCCAGCAGCCGCGGUAAUAC